rnacentral:rRNA from 1 species
GACGUAGGGCGCGAGCGUUGUCCGGAUUUAUUGGGCGUAAAGAGCUCGUAGGCGGCUCGUUGCGUCGGCUGUGAAAACCCGCAGCUCAACUGUGGGCUUGCAGCUGAUACGGGCGGGCUGGGAUUCGGCAGGGGAGACUGGAGUUCCUGGUGUAGCGGUGAAAUGCGCAGAUAUCAGGAGGAACACCGGUGGCGAAGGCGGGUCUCUGGGCCGAUAUCGACGCUGAGGAGCGAAAGCGUGGGGAGCGAACAGG